UUUCCGCCGGCCUAUUCAGACUCCUACAAUUUUUUAUAACCCAGUUUACUUGGCUUCAAUGAUUUCCAUUGCAAACGAAAUAACGAAACGCUCACACGCAGCAGCCCAGCGUCAAACGUGCUGUGCCUCCUGGAUGGUGCCUUGUAAAUGGUAGAUUUGUGGAGUGAACGUAUAGAGACAGCAGUCAUGUGAGCGCUCGCCUGGCUCUGUCGGUUUAAAUGAACUGAUGCAUGGCCGCAGCCCGCUGCCUGUGUGUGUAUGUGCCUGUGUGUCUGUGUGAGAGUGUGUGUGUGUGUGUGUGUGGCUGCAGGGUCUGCAGGAGGAGUAGUGAAUGUAUCGCUGAGGAAUGUACAGAAAGUCUCCCCGCCCCCAGUCUCAGGACUUCUCGCUAUGGACAAAUUCCAUAGGGGGCAAACUGACAUAAAGUUUUCAGACUAGACUGCAUCCUAUGUGGGAAGAUUUCUGCGGUUAAUGUCAGUGUAGGAAAAGAACUGACAAAAUCGAUCUUGUUAAACAUAGUCUAGGAUAUUUCUAGAGAGAGAGAGAAGGAGGAGAGGGGAGGUAGAUUGUUUAAGUAAAACGCAGCUUAUAGCCCAACUUUGAGCUGCUGGCCUCACUCCAAGAUAUAGAUAGUCUACGUCGCCAAGCGCAAAGGCUCCUUUACAAAGCCCUUUAGGCUACACUGAAUCAAGGGAUUCUGUUUUCCGAAAAUGGCGGUUUGUGCCCCCUCAAAACACAUGCCAAGGAACAUUUCUUUUUAAAGCAGUAAGUAAUGAGUUAAUGCUAGCUGGCAAAAUAUUAAAAAAGAUAAUAUAUUCCUGCUAAUAUCUGUGUUAUUUUUAAAAGAGUAAUACUAGUAAAGAAACUUGUUUUCUCGUCACUUGGACCUUUUUCAAAAUAAAACUCAAAUCUGGAAAUGAGUAUGAAAAAGUGUACUCAAUCUAGGUCAGCAGUGGUAGAAAAGAUUAUUUAAAUGUGAGGACAUUUUUGAGGAAAUAAUUAGUCUCUUGUUUUGUUGAAAAUAGCUUUAAAAAGCUAUUAAUAGCAGCUGAACACAGCUACCGUCACACUAUUGUUUUGUUCCACAAGUGACAACAACUGUGCUUGUGUUCUUAAUGAAAUAUUUGUUUAAUUGAAAGUCAUUUCAUUAAAUUCUGUGCAGACUGCAUUUCACACGCUGCAUGGUGUAUAAAAGAAAAAGCCAGGGAUUCUUAUUUGUUUUUAUUUUUCAGCACUUCAACACAAAUGUAGUUUUUUAUAAUAAACAUCUGUUGAUUUUAUAUAUUUUUUGUGACCUUAAUAUGGAUGCAUUUUUUUAACUGUUGUGGAGCAUUUGAUCAAUCAGAUUAACACCACAUGUCCGUGCAGCGUGGAAAAAAGUCUGAUGAAAAAGUGGGUGUUUUCACGCAGAGUCACAUGAAUAUUUGCAGACUUUGUCACACAUUGCUCCUGUACUUGCAUGGCUAGGGUUUUUUAGCAUUUAGCUUUUUGUCUUUGUUGCAGGAGGACUUCCCUCCUGGCUGCUUGUUGUUUACUGGUUUCAGCACCUUGAUUGAUUAGUUACACUGUGAUUUGUGCUGAGAAAAUGUCUCUCUUAACAGCUCAAAAGCAAUCAGCUUCUUCAAUAUCUGGUUUUCUAAAAGAGGGGGGAAACUUGAUUUGUUGUUCUUCAAGUUUUCACACUUUUCAGUUUUACAUUAGAUUAUGUUUAUUGCAAAAUAAAGUGCAGGAUUUGAUGAAUCUGGAAUGGAAUAUGUAGCAUUUUUACUCAAGUGGAAAAGUUUCUGCAAAUUCUUGUUAAAAAUGUAGCUUGUUAUUUGUUGUGCGUUAAUACUAACCUGGUGUUAAAGCGUUGGAGGUAAUCUGUCAACUUGAUUUUGAUAAUUAAUUUCUUUACAGAAAUACAAAUUAUUUAAUGUGGAUUUAACAGGGUUUUUCUAACUAGCAACCUUUUAAAGUGCUAUGACAGAGUUAGUAACUUUUCCGCUGUCUGUGGAUUGUCACUUAAAUUUUGAGAUGUAAAUAUAAGCAAAACAUUGAUCACAAGCUUUAAAUAGUUUUUAGGCUGAUAAUAAAAUAUUUUAUUAAGCUAAGACAAAUUAGCCAAGAGUUAAAAAGUAAUAAAACCACACUUCUGGCACAGUAAUGAGCUGUUUAUUUGUUGAAUUUGGGCAAAUAUAAAUAAAUAAAUGCAUUUAACUUCAGAAAACAUAUUCUCCUCACUAAGAUCAACAACUGUAGAUGUGCUUAAACUAAAAUAAAAAGAUUUAAAAAGGGUCUGGAUGAUAUUUCCUUUGGACAUAUGUAUCAUAAAGAACUCUGGCUGGUAAAUAAGAUAAACAGCACGUGCUGAUCAAAUAGCAAACAGUUGUUAAUGUUUGUUAUUCCAAGUGGACCCACAUGUUUAUUGCUCGGACGUGAGCGACUCAGAGGUGGAGAAUUUAAGCCUACAACCCCCCCACCGGUCGUCCUACGUUCAGACCAUAUAGAAUACGUGAACAUGCUGUCGCCUGUUAACCCUCAGACAUUGUCCUGUACGUUAGGAGCCCGUACUGCUAUUUUUUUUUAUUCUGAUCACAAAUACAGGAUGUUAAAGAUACAGGUUACACCUGGUGUAGACCUUGGGCAUGUUCAGUUCACUAUUAUAAAUCAUUGACCUCUACAGUAAAACUAUGUGAUAAAGUUGAUGGAAAACUGAGAAAAGAUGGUGGCAGUAUAUUUUAUAUAGUCUCAGAAUGUACUGCAUGUUUUUGGUUUGAGGGUGCAACAAUGAUUUCACAGUUUUAUUUUUUGUUAAGUAGACAUGGAAUGCUUCCUUCAGGCAAAUAGUUUACACUACCCCUGAUAUUGUCCUUUCUCUGAACCAGAACAUAAUGUACUCGCGUGUGUGUCUUUCUGAAUGUUUGAGUCCAACUUCUAUAGGAGGGUUCUCGCUGCAGGGAAAUCCCAAUAUUAUGGAUGCCCAGUCUGUCCCCUACUGGUCAACCUAUGGCUAGAUAGCCCCUGCCAUGAUACCUGUGUCAUUAUGUAAUUUCAAUAAAGAAAAAGAAAUUCAUAUAAAACAACACAACCUCACAGUUAACCAUAAAAUCAUGAGAAUUAUCUGCAUUUUCAUUCAAUCUGUGUACCUGUUCUAUACAGUGAAACCAGCUCAGAAGUGUCUACGCUACACUUCAGAUCAGGGGGCCAUAACUUAAUUUUAUAGUUCAUAUACUUAAUGACACAGACCUGCACAGGCAAAAUGUAUAUGAAUGAGUGCCAGUGUUCAAAGUUCACGUAACAUAAAAAUCAAAGGUGAAAAUGGGCACAGACGUACACACCAAUCAACUUACUAUAGCCUUAAGUGUCUUUAUUGAGAAAGACCUCAUACUUUGACCCUUUUAUCCUUCCAGCUAGUGGUUACCUUGGAACCUACAGAAUUAUCUUGGGGUCAGUGUGUGAAUGAACGAAUAACUCUGAGGGGCCCCAUGACAUGUCAGCAGUGAUUAUAAACCUCAUUUGAAUGGAGGGCCUUAUUAUUGGGGCUAAGGUCUACAGAUAAAAGAGCCCUCCAUUCCUUCAGGUUUACUUUUGCGAUUAGCCGCUCAGUUUCAAGAUCUCGCUUUUGCUCCAGAUAUCUAAACCUGUAUCUGAUUGGUACAAAAACUUAUCAUUUUUGAUGUCAUGUUGAUGCAAACUGCAAGGGUUUUGUUUAAAUGCAAAUUUUGACUGGUAACACUGUCUAACGUAGAACAAACCUGGCCUUGUUCUGUCACCUUUUCAUAAUGUAAAGCACACGUUUGGUUAUUUAAAAUGUACUAGUAGUGUCUUUGCUGAGGUGAAGGACAUCACAGUCACAUGAAAGUGAAAAAGUUUCUGUAUUUUAAUGGGCACCAUGAUAAUGAAUGUUGAGGGAAGCACAGGCUCUUGUUGUUGUUACUGUAAAUAUGCACUGAGAAAUGCCUCUCAACAAACCAUGUAUUAACAGAAUGCUGUUGUCUGUUUUUUCUUACAUGUGAACUUUGUAUCUUAUGCAAUGAAGCCACCCAAUAAAAGCCUGGUAAAAGUCCUUCUUUGCAUGUUUUCAUUGGUGUAGCCUGAAUGAGAGCAAACUGAACUUUUGGAGAAUCUAUUGUGGCUCCAGAUCCAACUACUUUAAAUUUGUGUGAACAUAAACUUGUCAUGCACAACAUCUUGGCGUCCGGUCUAGUUCUGUGAAAACUCUCCCAGCUUGUUUUCCCACCUCACCCACUCAACUUACAGUAUUAACUCCCACCUAUACAACCGAAGCUCAACUUCCAAUUUCAUGCACAUUAAGUCAGAAAAACACCUUACAAAACUUUGGAGUUUUCAUAUAUUUGUAUUUCCAUACAAAGAAACAACAAUAAAAAAAUGCAAUACAUAAAACUCUCUAGAGAAACUGAAAUGAUUACUUCCUGGACAAAAAAGUGGAUGUGAGCAGAGAACCAACCACUGAUAGCAUGACGACACUUUAUUUUACA